UACGAAGGGGCUAGCGUUGUUCGGAAUUACUGGGCGUAAAGCGCACGUAGGCGGAUUGUUAAGUUAGGGGUGAAAUCCCGGGGCUCAACCUCGGAACUGCCUUUGAUACUGGCAAUCUUGAGUCCGGAAGAGGUGAGUGGAAUUCCUAGUGUAGAGGUGAAAUUCGUAGAUAUUAGGAGGAACACCAGUAGCGAAGGCGGCUCUCUGGACUGUAACUGACGCUGAGGCACGAAAGCGUGGGGAGCAAACAGGAUUAGAUACCCUGGUAGCCCCUGAG
rnacentral:rRNA from 1 species